ACUAAGCGUACACGGUGGAUGCCCUGGCAGUCAGAGGCGAUGAAGGACGUGCUAAUCUGCGAUAAGCGUCGGUAAGGUGAUAUGAACCGUUAUAACCGGCGAUUUCCGAAUGGGGAAACCCAGUGUGUUUCGACACACUAUCAUUAACUGAAUCCAUAGGUUAAUGAGGCGAACCGGGGGAACUGAAACAUCUAAGUACCCCGAGGAAAAGAAAUCAACCGAGAUUCCCCCAGUAGCGGCGAGCGAACGGGGAGCAGCCCAGAGCCUGAAUCAGUGUGUGUGUUAGUGGAAGCGUCUGGAAAGGCGCGCGAUACAGGGUGACAGCCCCGUACACAAAAAUGCACAUGCUGUGAGCUCGAUGAGUAGGGCGGGACACGUGGUAUCCUGUCUGAAUAUGGGGGGACCAUCCUCCAAGGCUAAAUACUCCUGACUGACCGAUAGUGAACCAGUACCGUGAGGGAAAGGCGAAAAGAACCCCGGCGAGGGGAGUGAAAAAGAACCUGAAACCGUGUACGUACAAGCAGUGGGAGCCUCUUUUAUGGGGUGACUGCGUACCUUUUGUAUAAUGGGUCAGCGACUUAUAUUCUGUAGCAAGGUUAACCGAAUAGGGGAGCCGAAGGGAAACCGAGUCUUAACUGGGCGUUAAGUUGCAGGGUAUAGACCCGAAACCCGGUGAUCUAGCCAUGGGCAGGUUGAAGGUUGGGUAACACUAACUGGAGGACCGAACCGACUAAUGUUGAAAAAUUAGCGGAUGACUUGUGGCUGGGGGUGAAAGGCCAAUCAAACCGGGAGAUAGCUGGUUCUCCCCGAAAGCUAUUUAGGUAGCGCCUCGUGAAUUCAUCUCCGGGGGUAGAGCACUGUUUCGGCAAGGGGGUCAUCCCGACUUACCAACCCGAUGCAAACUGCGAAUACCGGAGAAUGUUAUCACGGGAGACACACGGCGGGUGCUAACGUCCGUCGUGAAGAGGGAAACAACCCAGACCGCCAGCUAAGGUCCCAAAGUCAUGGUUAAGUGGGAAACGAUGUGGGAAGGCCCAGACAGCCAGGAUGUUGGCUUAGAAGCAGCCAUCAUUUAAAGAAAGCGUAAUAGCUCACUGGUCGAGUCGGCCUGCGCGGAAGAUGUAACGGGGCUAAACCAUGCACCGAAGCUGCGGCAGCGACGCUUAUGCGUUGUUGGGUAGGGGAGCGUUCUGUAAGCCUGUGAAGGUGUGCUGUGAGGCAUGCUGGAGGUAUCAGAAGUGCGAAUGCUGACAUAAGUAACGAUAAAGCGGGUGAAAAGCCCGCUCGCCGGAAGACCAAGGGUUCCUGUCCAACGUUAAUCGGGGCAGGGUGAGUCGACCCCUAAGGCGAGGCCGAAAGGCGUAGUCGAUGGGAAACAGGUUAAUAUUCCUGUACUUGGUGUUACUGCGAAGGGGGGACGGAGAAGGCUAUGUUGGCCGGGCGACGGUUGUCCCGGUUUAAGCGUGUAGGCUGGUUUUCCAGGCAAAUCCGGAAAAUCAAGGCUGAGGCGUGAUGACGAGGCACUACGGUGCUGAAGCAACAAAUGCCCUGCUUCCAGGAAAAGCCUCUAAGCAUCAGGUAACAUCAAAUCGUACCCCAAACCGACACAGGUGGUCAGGUAGAGAAUACCAAGGCGCUUGAGAGAACUCGGGUGAAGGAACUAGGCAAAAUGGUGCCGUAACUUCGGGAGAAGGCACGCUGAUAUGUAGGUGAAGCGACUUGCUCGUGGAGCUGAAAUCAGUCGAAGAUACCAGCUGGCUGCAACUGUUUAUUAAAAACACAGCACUGUGCAAACACGAAAGUGGACGUAUACGGUGUGACGCCUGCCCGGUGCCGGAAGGUUAAUUGAUGGGGUCAGCGCAAGCGAAGCUCUUGAUCGAAGCCCCGGUAAACGGCGGCCGUAACUAUAACGGUCCUAAGGUAGCGAAAUUCCUUGUCGGGUAAGUUCCGACCUGCACGAAUGGCGUAAUGAUGGCCAGGCUGUCUCCACCCGAGACUCAGUGAAAUUGAACUCGCUGUGAAGAUGCAGUGUACCCGCGGCAAGACGGAAAGACCCCGUGAACCUUUACUAUAGCUUGACACUGAACAUUGAGCCUUGAUGUGUAGGAUAGGUGGGAGGCUUUGAAGUGUGGACGCCAGUCUGCAUGGAGCCGACCUUGAAAUACCACCCUUUAAUGUUUGAUGUUCUAACGUUGACCCGUGAUCCGGGUUGCGGACAGUGUCUGGUGGGUAGUUUGACUGGGGCGGUCUCCUCCUAAAGAGUAACGGAGGAGCACGAAGGUUGGCUAAUCCUGGUCGGACAUCAGGAGGUUAGUGCAAUGGCAUAAGCCAGCUUGACUGCGAGCGUGACGGCGCGAGCAGGUGCGAAAGCAGGUCAUAGUGAUCCGGUGGUUCUGAAUGGAAGGGCCAUCGCUCAACGGAUAAAAGGUACUCCGGGGAUAACAGGCUGAUACCGCCCAAGAGUUCAUAUCGACGGCGGUGUUUGGCACCUCGAUGUCGGCUCAUCACAUCCUGGGGCUGAAGUAGGUCCCAAGGGUAUGGCUGUUCGCCAUUUAAAGUGGUACGCGAGCUGGGUUUAGAACGUCGUGAGACAGUUCGGUCCCUAUCUGCCGUGGGCGCUGGAGAACUGAGGGGGGCUGCUCCUAGUACGAGAGGACCGGAGUGGACGCAUCACUGGUGUUCGGGUUGUCAUGCCAAUGGCACUGCCCGGUAGCUAAAUGCGGAAGAGAUAAGUGCUGAAAGCAUCUAAGCACGAAACUUGCCCCGAGAUGAGUUCUCCCUGACUCCUUGAGAGUCCUGAAGGAACGUUGAAGACGACGACGUUGAUAGGCCGGGUGUGUAAGCGCAGCGAUGCGUUGAGCUAACCGGUACUAAUGAACCGUGAGGCUUAACC
rnacentral:rRNA from 1 species